AGACACAGGGAGAAUAGGGGACACUGGGAGACACGUGGACACUGAGACAUUUGGGGACACUGGGAGAAAUGGGGCCACUGGGAGAAAUGGGGACACAGACACUAGGGACACAGUGUCCCCAAAUGUCUCAGUGUCCACAUGUCUCCAAGUGCCCCUAUGUCUCCCAUUUGUCU